rnacentral:rRNA from 1 species
UACGAGGGGGGCAAAUGUUGUUCGGAAUCACUGGGCGUAAAGGGAGCGUAGGCGGGUUCUAAGUCAGGUGUUUAAUCCCGGGGCCCAACCCCGGACAGGCACUUGAAACUGGGAAUCUUGAAUAGUGGAGAGGUCAGUGGAAUUGGGGGUGUAGCGGUGGAAUGCGUAGAGAUCCCCAAGAACACCAGUUGCGAAGGCGGCUGACUGGACACAUAUUGACGCUGAGGCUCGAAAGCAUGGGGAGCAAACAGG